UCUCAACCCUUCUUCCUUUGCACUAUCUGUUCCCGUGGCCAUUCCGGCCGGUCACCGGUGAUGUUUGCUGGAGUUUGGUAACUUCCGAUCACUCUCACAUAGUAUCGCACUGGUGAAGGUCUCUCACUCAUGUACAAGUUCUUUUUUAGCAAGUUAGCCUCUACUGAAGAAAUGGUUAGAAUGAGGAGUGCUCAUGGAAAGAGAUUUUCCAUCGAGUGCGCCUAGAGUUUCCAUCUACAAUCUCUGCUCUCCUGGCAGCAGCCGGGGGAGUGGGAACAACAGAAUGGGGUUCGGAUCAUUCAGUUAUUGGUCGGGAUGGACAUGGACGAUUAUUUGGAAGUGGAGCGACAGGAGCCCAUUGAUGGGAGGGGGGAAGAUGAGGUGAUGGAGGAUAUGUGCAAGGGAGGAUGGUACCAUAGCAAGGCUAAUAUCGUUGCUAGUCUGGUGGAGAUGGGCGUUGAACGUUGGCCUAAUCUGAAGGUAGAGAAAGAAGGGGAGAACCAAGGUUGAUCUUCGCAGUUGCUGCUCACAAGCGCCUGGAGGACCAAUUUCGAGUUUUGGGCAGUGGCUGGAUUCUACGAUGGGAGGAUAGGCAAAGGUAUGGACUAUCCCUUCGUUUUUGAAUCUCUCCAUAAGGCAUUGGUCAAAGUGCGAAAUCCCAAGUUCUCAAUAAUGGGAAGUGGUAGAUUUCUUGUUCACGUCGGCUCUGAAGCAGAGCGGAACGAAGUUUUGAGGAAGAGGACGUGGAUGGCAGGUGGUUGCUUUCUUAUAGCAAGUAGGUGGAGGCUUGGCGCUGAGAUGAAGAUUGAUGUGGAUGCAACUAUUCCGAUUUGGAUUUGUUGCCUCGACUUCCUUCAUUCUAUUGGAACACAUAUAGCCUGACCACUCAGAGGGGCAUUGUUGCACGACGAAUGAGGCGUCAGUCGGGUCAUCACCCGCACAGUGCUUGCAGUUUUCUGUAGGAGAAAACUAAAUAAUAAUUGUAAGCAUGCCAACAUAUAAUUAAUACUACUUGCAUUUACAUGCAUUUUUUAUGACUAAUAUUGUGGGUACUUGUUAGUGUGAAAUAUUUUAUCUUUUGUGUGUAUAAUUGAUAUUGACAACAGGCAUCAAAUCUCA